UACAGGGGGCUCGAGCGUUAGUCGGAAUCACUGGGCUUAAAGGGUGCGUAGGCGGCUUAUCAAGUGUUUUGUGAAAUCCCACAGCUCAACUGUGGAACAGCAGGGCAAACUGAUAAGCUUGAGGCAGGUAGGGGCCGGAAGAACAGUUGGUGGAGCGGUGAAAUGCGUAGAUAUCAACUGGAAUGCCGAUGGGGAAGCCGUCCGGCUGGGCCUGUCCUGACGCUGAGGCACGAAAGCGUGGGGAGCAAACAGG
rnacentral:rRNA from 1 species